UACGUAGGGUGCAGGCGUUAAUCGGAAUUACUGUGCGUAAAGCGUGCGCAGGUGGCUUCGCAAGUCGAGUGUGAAAUCCCCGGGCUUAACCUGGGAAUUGCGCUCGAAACUACGGAGCUGGAGUAUGGCAGAGGGAGGUGGAAUUCCACGUGUAGCGGUGAAAUGCGUAGAGAUGUGGAGGAACACCAAUGGCGAAGGCAGCCUCCUGGGCCAAUACUGACACUCAUGCACGAAAGCGUGGGGAGCAAACAGG
rnacentral:rRNA from 1 species